rnacentral:rRNA from 1 species
GACGAACGCUGGCGGCGUGCUUAACACAUGCAAGUCGAACGGUGACGCACCAGCUUGCUGGAGUGGCUCAGUGGCGAACGGGUGAGUAACACGUGAGCAACCUGCCCCUGACUCUGGUAUAAGCGCUGGAAACGGCGCCUAAUACUGGAUACGAGACGGGUCAGCAUGGGCACUUUCUGGACAGUGUUUCGGUUGGGGAUGGGCUCGCGGCUUAUCAGCUUGUUGGUGGGGUAAUGGCUCACCGAGGCGGCGGCGGGUAGCCGGCCUGAGAGCGCGACCGGCCACACUGGGACUGAGACACGGCCCAGACGCCUACGGGAGGCAGCAGUGGGGAAUAUUGCACAAUGGGCGAAAGCCUGAUGCAGCGACGCCGCGUGAGGGAUGACGGCCUUCGGGUUGUAAACCUCUUUCAGCAGGGAAGAAGCGAAAGUGACGGUACCUGCAGAAGAAGCACCGGCUAACUACGUG